UUAACACACUUGUUUCAUUGCCAUUCAGUGAAUUAUUAAUAUUACAGUCUCUGUUAUAACAGAGUGCCAGAUUUAAAAAAACAAACAAACAAACAAACAAAAAACUAUUUUGAAGUAUCUCUUUUAUCACGUGCUCCCAAAACACUAGGUUGCAACUAAAAAUCCAAAAUGAAGAUGUAAGAGGUUAGACCAAUGUGACAGGGUCAUUAAUUUAAUAGACUUCAAAAGAGGUCAUUAGGAUGUUGACUGAAAAUCUGCCCUCCUGUCACAGUAACAGCAUGAACAGGGCAGCCACACACUCAUCAACAUCCUGAGGCCAGCACCAAGGCUAGACCUGUUAGUGGGCUCAUGAUGAACUAAAUGGUAAUUGAUUGUGACAUCAAUUACGAAUAAUCUCAUCAUUUUAUCGGAGUGGGCUUGUCAAAGUUCUAAUUAAGAUCACAGUUCAUUCUAUGUGCAGGAAGAAUCCACAACACAUUAUACUGCAAUAACAACCAUCACAAAAUAGCAAGUCUCUUUUUAUAAUUUGAAAAUUAAUGAGGGUGACCUUAUACGAUAUGACAAAGACCUUUUAUUGCCUGUAUGUACUAUGCAUUAACUAUAUUACAUGCCACAGGUUCAGAACCUGACUAACCCAGGGACAAAUUGAGAAAUAGCAGCACAGCUGCAUUAUUAACCAAAAUAAAAGAGAAUUCAGAGCUGCAUAGGUUUAAACAGCAUAAAAUAAUUGAUUCAAUAUAUAUACCCUGCAAUAACUAAGAUUUGUGUUGUUAACAUGAAAUGGAAUUGUUGAAUGUUUCACAGCUUCACACAAGGAUAAGCUUCUAAACAUAAACCAACAAAGUAUUUCUUAAAUAUUGUACUUGAUAGUUCAUAUGUUUAAGAAUCUAGGCUAGAUUAAAUUUUAACAAUACCAAUAUUCUUCAAUCUAACUGCUGCACAGUAAUUAAAUAUUCAACCAUAAGCUGAUUAAGGACAUGUAAACUCCCCACACACCAAUGUUUACUUGAAGUGGCCAACCAUGUGAAACACUGCUACAUCCUUGUGUGUACACAACUAUAAUUAGAUAAAUGAACAUGUGUUCUUAGUUUUAGUCUCAUCUGCAUAAAUGUUAAAUGUGCAAGGUAUAACAGAAAGAUGAUAAAUACCUACCUGGCAGAAAGUAAAUGUAUACAGCAGAAAAUGGGCAUCUACAUUACACUACUAAACAGGUAAGGUCCAAACUUUACUGCCCUGCAUAUAGCAAGUUCAAAAAUAGCUAACCACAUAGCAUAAUUCUACUACCUUGGAUAGCUGCUCCAGUCAGAAACUGAAUGGAAGCCAACAAAUAGAGCAAGACUAGUCUAGAGAACAUCUGGGAAGCAUGAAAGAGGAAGCAGCUCUACAUUUAACUUUCAUUAACAUACGCCUCAAAUAAAGUCUCUUACCACUUUUUAAAAGAAAGUUAUUAUUAUCAAAUCUGCCUUGACCGAGAUAAAAUUACCUUAACUAAUUAAAACAAUGUAUAGAUUCACCUGAGAAAAAAGUAAAAGACUACACUGAGAUCCACGAAAAUAUGCCAGUAGGAGUGAACUCAUCAUCAAAACAGCUAAGACAGACAUCACAUUAUUUCUGAAAUAAUCUUGACUGGUAGACUACAUAAGUGAAUACAUCAAAACUACACCCACUGGGAAAUAUGUAGCAAUAACAUUUCUGUCCACCUAAAACUUAAGUCAGUGAACUGUUUAUACAUAGUCAACUGCAGUUUCCAGCCAGUUAAAGGGGAAAAAUGCUACCAAGCAGCUCCACAAAUAACUGCUCCUCUCCACGGAAAUCUUCAGUAAAAGACGAAAGAUUUAUGCGACUUCAAGAGUACUAAAUCAAGGUAGAAGUCAGAAAAGAACUGAAUCACAUUUCUCUCUUGGGUCCAAAUGAUCUGUAUACAACAGUAGGAGCCAACCUUUUCAGCAGGUGAGCAACAAAUUAGCCCUGCAGCUUCUGAGUGCCACUCCAACCCCCUUGAUCUACUCAAUCUGUUUUUUUGCCUUCUACUUCCUGUUCCAUGCCCCCUGCCCAAUCCCCUGAUCUGCUUUCUACUUCCUGCCCUGUGCUCCUUACCUGACCUACUACUCUGUUUUCUUUCUCCUGCCCUAUCUGCAACUGUGCUGCCUGUCCCCUCCCUGAUCAUGCCACACACACGAGCUACCCAUGCCACUUGUGGCACUCAUGCUGCAGGUUGGUGACCCCUGGCGUAGAACAUCCCAUGAAACAAAUGCAAAGCGAGUUUUGAUGGGUUGAGACUUCAGAAUGUGCAGACACGCUUCCUUCACAUGUGAUGCUAUAAUUUUGCUUUAUAUAAUCCUCUGCAAAAACCUAUGCCAUUCCUACCCACAGUAUUCACUGUAUCCACAUCUCUCUGAUCCAUAAUUUACUUUCAGAUCCAAUGCUGCAAUACUGCAGUGCAAAUGGGUGAAAUGACCUUCCUGGUGCAAAGUUUACAAUACAACAUCACCCAGAGCUACAAAUGGCACAUCAAACUACUGUCAUUUGAAAGAAGUAUCCUAACAUCAAGAACAAAAAGUAACAGGCAUGAUUGGCUGUGGCCCCAUGCAGCUAUGAAAAGAAGCAAAAACCCUCAUGAAACAAAAGAGCAAAGCCUUAAUCAUGCUGGGUCCUGAAAUAGCCUCACUCCUCUACUGCAACACUGUUUGAUCACCAAGACACCACCAGCCUCUAUCCUUUGCCCUGUUUCACUGGUUACCAUGCUUUUUUACUUUUCCUGACAUAUGGCCAGAGUAGACAGCCAAACCUUCAUUAGCAAUAUAAAGAGUGAAAUGAGGGCUUCAGCCACUCAUAACAAAGAUUUGCACAAAUAUCCCUAAUCCUUCACAUACUUGUGUGUUCCUGAACAAAAAUUAUGCCAUCUCUGUCCCAUUUAUUGCCUAUAUAGUACUAUAAAUGCAAUUCACUAGUUAUAAUAGUUUGCGUACUAGGCAUAAUAAGUGCAAUAAAGAGUAUUCUUCCACAAUGAGAUACACAAUUUGUGGUAACUUUUACAAAUCCUUCCAGGAAACAUGACAGGACCCUACAUCUUUAAAACUGUCUUUAAGACUACUGUCAAAAUGUAUGACUCAUCUACAGAUAAUACAGUAUAAUACCUUUGUAUGGUGCCUGUCCAUCAUCUAAGGCAUUUCACUACAACCUAGAAUUAAAACAAGCAGUAAAAAUCACAUGAAUUAGAUGAAAAUGUAAAGCCAAAUACUGGUGACAGGCCAUAAUCAUUCAUUUAAAAAAAAAAAAAAAGAAAGAAAGAGAAAGAAAGGUAGAUUAUACUUUUUAGAAAAUAAAGGCAAAAGCCCCAGACAUAUAAAGGUUUAUACAUGUGCUUAGCAUGGCACACUGAGCAAUCCUGUUGAUUUCAGUGGGUUUACUCACAUGCUAUAAAUUAUUUGGAUUAAUCUUUGAAGAAUCAGGACCUAACUGUCUCCUUAAAAAAGGCAGAACAUUCUAAUACUGUGUAACCCCUGUAGCAACAAGCUUGUGCUCAUUCUAGUCUAUAACAUCAGUACUAAAUGUGUAAUAGCUCUUUGAUCAAAUAGGGCAAAAAAAUUUUAUCAAGUCUAUAAAACUGCAUUCUCAUAGCAGAAUAUUCAAAGUGCUCUAUAUACCAACUAACAGCUAGCACCAAAGACUAACUAAUGAGAAAGGUAUAAGAGUCACACCACUAUUUUUUGCUAACUGCAGGUGGUGAAUCUCAGGCUCUUAGCCAUCUCUGACAAAAUGAGUUACACAUGCAGUAAUCGAAAAUAUAAAACCCAACAUUCAAGCUAUGAAAGCUAUAUUCAUUAUUAUUACACAAAGCAAGUUUUUUUUAUUAUAAUAGUGCUUUUUAAAGAAGAAAUUUGAUUUGAACACAAGAGUGUGGAGUAUAACCAACUAUUUAAUAUUUCCAUUGAUCGUAUUUUAGAUUGGCCACCAAUAGGCAUUUAUUUUGAACAGUGGAAAAUUUCUGCUAGAAAUGUUACUGGGAGAGUGAGCAGUACAGACAUUCAGCCUGCAACUGCCCCCACUCCUUGCAUCUUCCUUAAAGCUGGGUGAUGCCAGAUUGGGAAAAGCAUGAGGAAUAGUGGCUGCUCUGUGCCUCCUAAUCCUGGGGGACUGGAGCAGUGGGGCAAAACCCCCUGCCUGCUCCUCUCCCCAGUGUGCCCCAGUGUGAGGAGGUCAGAAGCAAGCAGCAGCUGCUCCUUCCCUCCUCUCUGUCUACAGGAGGGGCAGGAUCAGGUAGCCCUACCUUCCUCAACCACCACCCCUCACCCUCUCCAGACCAGGGUGACCCUAUUCUCUGGAAAGCACAGGAAAUUUUCCCUGAUGCUCGACUCUUCCCAGGACCAGGAGGAGGUGAUCCACAGCUGGUCUCCCCUUCUUCUCCAGACCAGGGUGACCCUGGUCCUGGAAGGUAUAGGGAACAUUUCCCUGCCACUCAACUCCUUCUAGUCCCGGCGAGGAAUCAAGAGGCGGAGAAGUGUACAGGCAUUCAUUCUCCUAGGAGAAACCCAGGGGUGACUUCUACCUGGUUGGAGAUGGGAUAUUUUCCUCCCGGGAUGGCCAUUUUUGUUCUGGGAGGAAUUGGGUGAAUGCCUGUACACUCAUGUUUUCUACUAGGGCAGCUGCGAUGAAAUGUAAUGACUGUAUGUGGCCCUUUUCCAUUUUAGCCCUGAUCUAUGCUUCGAGUAUUAAAGGCUAUAUGGAUCCCCUGCAUGAGUUUCUGCCAACAAAGAUAUACCAUUAAAGCUCUCGGAAGCAACAGAUGUAUCAGUAUAAUAGGCUUUACAUUGGCAAAGCUUAUAUCCGUAGCCAAACCAAAAUAAACUAUGCUGCCGUAAACAUUUUUAUGUUGCUAUAACUGUGUCUACACUAGAAAAAAGGUUGUCAAUCUGAGUGGGCCAUCACUUAAAAAAUGGCAAAAUAAGUGCAAACAUGGCGUUAAAAGGCAUACCGAGUUUGUAGGUUUAAAAAACAAGAGAGUUUACACAAUUAUUUAUAUACAUUCAUAUAUGUAUAUGUUUUGUACUAACAUGCAAUAUAAACUAGGGCUGUCAAUUAAUUGCAGUUAAUGCAUGUGAUUAACCCGUUAAUGUUUUUACAGGGUUUUUUAACGUGUGUUAAUCACUGCUGGUGCUGGAGAGAAAGCGGGCCGUCCCCCUCGCCUGUGCACCUGCCUGUGUGCUGCGGAAAAAGCAGCCUCUCUCCCCUCACUGCCGCGUGCCUGCUUGUGUGCUGGGGUAAAAGCGGCCCCACACCACACACACACACACACGGCCAACAAGCAGGCAAGCAGGGUCCUGGGAGCAGACUCAGCAGCUGGAUGGAGUGCAAAGGCUUCCUUCUUGAGCUAUGAUAAGAACUAAUCUGAGUGCUGGACAAAAGAAUAAAAUCUCCAAGUUCUCAUCUAUCCCUACUGAGGUUUAUUUAAGUGCCUCCCACUUUGGUACAAGAAACAAACAUAAUUGCUUCAUUGCCUGCGGGUGUUCAUUUAACAAAAGCAGCUUUUGUGAAUAAACCACAGGUGUUACCUUUCUUGAUUAAAGUGAAAUAUGAUGAAAGAACCUACAAUAUCAAGUGACAAGUUUACUACAUACUAUUGAAAUUUAUUUAAGUAAAUUGCAUCUAAUUAAGAAAAAGCAUACGACAUAAAAGUAUAAAGAUUCUGAUUAAGCCCUGAACAUUUCAGGUCUUACAAACUUGAUUUUUUUCCCAUAAUCCUUUAUUUAUUGCAGAACCACAAGUAGGUACUACAUAGCAUAGUGAAUGUACAGUAUUUACUACUGAAUAGCAUAUCUUUCUUUUGGACUUAAAAGAAAGGUUGUUCAUAAAUAAGUGUCAGGUUGUUCAUAAUAAAUGUCAGGUGGAAUAAAACUCAAUGACAAAUUAAUACAAAGCGUAAAACCCAAUAUUUUGGAAAUCAAUUUUAAAAUUUCUGCAUUAUUUUGACUGGCAAAAAUCCAUGCCUUAGAAGUCUGAUAUCAAUAAUCAUUUAGUAUAAACUCAGUUGGUUCUAUUCAUGUAAUGUAAUGUAAUGUAAUGUAAUGUAAGAAUUAGAAACUGAGGAUGUAGUAAAUAAGUGAAGAAUACUGCAGAUUUGUCCUACUCAAAAAUGUAAUUAAUGUUUAACACACGGAACAGGAAUUUAACUUAAAUUCUAUGUACUUCUGAAGGUACUGGAGUAAUGUAGCCAUGAUGGUCCAGGAAAUGAGAGAAGGGCAAGGAUUUCUGUGGAUGAUAUUUUUAGUGGACCAAUUGCACAGUUGCGAUAGACUUAGAUAGACUUUCAAAUGGAAUGUAUUCUUCCAUUUUUUCUUCCAAAAUUGCAAAAGAAUAAAAUUUAUGAUCUUUUCCCACUAUAAAGUA